rnacentral:rRNA from 1 species
GAUGAACGCUAGCGGCAGGCUUAAUACAUGCAAGUCGAGGGGCAGCAUGAGUGUAGCAAUACAUUUGAUGGCGACCGGCAAACGGGUGCGGAACACGUACACAACCUUCCUAUAAGUGGGGAAUAGCACAGAGAAAUUUGGAUUAAUACCCCGUAACAUAAUGAUGUGGCAUCACAUUAUUAUUAUAGCUUCGGCGCUUAUUGAUGGGUGUGCGGCUGAUUAGAUAGUUGGCGGGGUAACGGCCCACCAAGUCUACGAUCAGUAGCUGAUGGGGAUGCAAGAUCAUCCAAACGGGCACUGAAACGCGGGCCCGACUACUACGGGAGGCAGCAGAAAGGAAUAGUGGGCAAUAGUCGCAAGUCUGAACCAGCCAUGCCGCGUGAAGGAUUAAGGUCCUCUGGAUUGUAAACUUCUUAUAUCUGGGACGAAAAAAAGCGAUUCUUCGUCACUUGACGGUACCAGAUGAAUAAGCACCGGCUAACUCCGUGCCAGCCGCCGCGGUAAAAC